rfam:Simian immunodeficiency virus isolate SIVcpzEK505, complete genome.
GUUGGCACAGUCUUAGUAGGGCCAACACCUGUUAAUAUUAUUGGAAGAAAUUUUCUGACACAAAUUGGUUGUACUCUAAAUUUUCCAAUAAGUCCUAUUGAAACCAUACCAGU